rnacentral:rRNA from 1 species
UCCGUAGGCGGUGUGGCAAGUCGGAAGUGAAAUCUCUGGGCUUAACUCAGAGGCUGCUUCCGAAACUGCCGUGCUAGAGUGCGAGAGAGGCAAGUGGAAUUGCGGGUGUAGCGGUGAAGUGCGUAGAUAUCCGCAGGAACAUCCGAGGCGAAAGCGGCUUGCUGGAUCGCAACUGACGCUGAGGGACGAAAGCUAGGGGAGCAAACAGGAUUAGAUACCCUGGUAGUCCUAGCCCUAAACCAUCAGGACUUGGGGUUUGCCCUGUACGGGGCAAGUCCCGUAGCUAACGCGUUAAGUCCUGCGCCUGGGGAGUACGGUCGCAAGGCUGAA